rnacentral:lncRNA from 1 species
GUGGAGGUGAUUCCUGGCCAAAAUAGGCAACCUGGCCCCCCAGUGAGUAUCAUACUCCAGGUGUGGUGGACCCUUCAGCCUCUCAAGGGCUGGCAGAGAAGCAAAGGGAGCUGGGAGAGAGCCCACAUCCCUCCCUCUCCUGGUUCUCGUUGUUGCAGGGACAGAAAGGGCAGCCAGGUGUUCCUGGGGUGGCAGGACCACCAGGUUUACCAGGGCCACAGGGGCCACCAGGGAUCUCCAUCAAGGGUGACCCAGGGGAUUCAGGUGUCAGGGGCCCUCGUGGGAGGAAUGGCCUCAAGGGUGACAGAGGAGGCAUGGGAGAGCCGGGGAAACCUGGCUUGCCGGGCCCUGUAGGGCUAGAUGGUGUUCCUGGAUUGCCUGGACCAAGAGGAGAAAAGGUCAUUACUCGUAUCCGAUGCUUGCUGAAUCCAUCAGCCCAAGGAGGAACUGAGAAUAGCUGAGACAAAGUAAUAGCAGGGUAGACACUA